rnacentral:rRNA from 1 species
UACGUAGGGAGCGAGCGUUGUCCGGAUUCAUUGGGCGUAAAGAGCUCGUAGGCGGCUUGAUAAGUCGGAUGUGGAACCUCCAGGCUCAACCUGGAGUCGCCAUCCGAUACUGUCAUGGCUAGAGUCCGGUAGGGGCCCACGGAAUUCCUGGUGUAGCGGUGAAAUGCGUAGAUAUCGGGAGGAACACCUGUGGCGAAAGCGGCUCACUGGACCAUAACUGACGCUGAUGCACGAAAGCUAGGGGAGCAAACAGG